UUCGGCCAAAUGACUUUUGAACUUAGUGGCGGACGGGUGAGUAACGCGUGAGCAACCUGCCUUUAUCAGGGGGAUAACGCAUCGAAAGAUGUGCUAAUACCGCGUAAGACCACAGCUUCACAUGGAGCGGGGGUCAAAGGAGCAAUCCGGAUAAAGAUGGGCUCGCGUCCGAUUAGCUAGUUGGUGAGAUAACAGCCCACCAAGGCGACGAUCGGUAGCCGACCUGAGAGGGCGACCGGCCACAUUGGGACUGAGACACGGCCCAGACUCC
rnacentral:rRNA from 1 species